rnacentral:rRNA from 1 species
CGUAACGCGUAUGCAAUCUACCUUUAACCGGGACAUAACCACGAGAAAUUGUAGCUAAUAUCCCAUGUGAUUAUUUUUUGGCAUCAAGGAGUAAUUAAAAUUCAGAUGGUUAAAGAUGGGCAUGCGUCCCAUUAGCUAGUUGGUGAGGUAACGGCUCACCAAGGCCACGAUGGGUAGGGGUUCUGAGAGGAUGAUCCCCCACACUGGUACUGAGACACGGACCAG